rnacentral:lncRNA from 1 species
GUUAAUGAACUUGGGUGUUCAUUCGCUGUACUCCAUCCCCCUCAUGGUUGCCUUAUUUGACUUAUAUUGCUGAGGUACCCCCGAAGCAUGUGUUGUCGCCCCGAUGAAAUAUUCUUAGACUAGGUCCCUUAUGUUAGUUGUUUUAGGGACAUUAAAGUGAGAAUAACGGGAAUGGGUAAUUGGGUUAUUGUUGGUUGGUGAAAAUUAAAUAUGAUAUUUAUUGUGGGUUGAAAACCCUAUAUGCUCACCAGGCUCCCAAGCCUGACCCACUCAGUUUUAAAUUGUAUUACAGGUAGUGGCGGAAGGGCAUGAGAUGGAUGAACCAUCAAGUUGUUUUGUUUACAAGUCUGCAUAUGUUUAUAUUUGUUAUAUGACUUGUAAUGUAUUCGUUUAUGCUUAUUGGUCUGUAUCGGAACAUGACACCCCGAGUUUUGAUUAUAAUGAAAAUACAUUUCUUUUAUGAAAUGCUUCGGUAAACAAUGUUUUAUCAUGUUUUGUUUUUGGGAACAAAUUCCGCAACUCUUUCAAAUCAAAAGGAUUUACUCUGAAAAUAUUUAAAAGCAUAAAUGAAAAUCGGUCUUUUCUGGCCGAGAUUUUGGGGAUGUCACAGUUGGUAUCAGAGCAUUAGUUUAAGCGAACUAGGAAUUUGUAGGAUUUCUAGACUUAAACUUAGAAUGCUAAGUGAAGUUUUGAGAUGUGUGUCUGUUGUGAUUUAGACACGAGCACUAGUUUAUUUUAGGAAAGUUGCCUAAAAUGCUUUAUGUGCUAAAUGUUAUAUGUUGCCAUAUAUGAUAUUAUUUGUUCGGAUCUAUGGUCUGUUGCCGACCGGAUCUAGAAACCUUAUGUGUGUAGGAUUCUAAGCGUACGUCUACGAUAUUAGAACUAGCAUGUAAACGUUUCGGAGUGAUAAGGAUGAUUUGAAUAUCUAUCAUGAUUGAGGAUCUAAUUUCACCUUAUUCGGUGUAGAUCAAAAUGGUGAGAACAAGAAGUGGAGUUGGAAAUGCUGACGAAAACAGGAAUCAACCACCAGUGAUUGAGCCAAUACCUGUCGUAGCAGCAGCACCUGAGCCAAUAACCAUGGCUGGUGUGCAAUUGAUGAUUCAGACGAUGUUGGAUCGUCAGAUGGAUGAAACUAGACGGUUGCUUCAACAAAAUCGUGAAGAACUGUCGAUUCGUGUGGAAGAGCCUGAACUGAAUGAAGGGCACUCGGAAGGUGGAAACUUCAGUGGGUCUGUUGGUCCAGCCAACCCACCGAUAGUUAGGCAAGAUAACCAUGAUGGAAGGAAUGAUGGAAUGGGAUGCAAGUACAAGGACUUUUUGACUUGUAAACCAUCGACCUUCAAUGGAAAGGAGGAUCCGAUUGGGGUUAUGGAUUGGAUCUCCGAAAUGGAGUUAGCCUUUAUGACAUGUGGCUGUAGAGGCAAGUUGCAGACUAUCUAUGCCGUGCGACAAUUCCGAGGUGGAGCCGUUCGUUGGUGGAACACUCUAGGGAAGACCUUAAGCCCUAAUGAGCCACUGCAAUUGUCAUGGGCAGAGUUCUUGGUGCAGUUCAAGCGCAAGUUCUGCUCGGCUCAAAAUCUGUUGGAGUUGGAGAACAAGUUUUUGACAUUGACGAAGGGUAGCAUGUCAGUGGAUGAGUACACCAAUAACUUCACCGAUAAGAUGGAGUUUGCCUUGCGUAUCGUUCCAGACGAGCUGACAAAGGUGGAUCGGUAUGCGAAGGGACUUCCAUGGGAGUACGAGGUGCCGGUACGUCAGGCACUUACUCUAGAGGCAGCUAUCUGGGCUGCCAAGUCUGUGGAGAACAUGAUCAAGGGGAGAACCACCGUCAAGGUUGAGGUUGGUGAGAAAAGGAAGUUUGAAGGAACAUCUGGUUCCAGUAAGAAGAGCAAAUUUUCGAAAUCUGAUUCGAAAAAGUUUGGAGGAAAAGGAGGCGAAGCAAAGUGGUGUGAUAAGUGUAAGAAAAAGCACUUUGGGAAAUGUAGCGAGGAUGUGACCUGCUACAAGUGUGGAAAGGUUGGACAUUUUGCCAAUGAAUGUCCGAACAACAAAAGGAUGUGUUUUGGGUGUAAUGAAGAGGGGCAUAUUUUGAAAGACUGUCCGAAGAAGAAGGAGGCAGCUAGGCCCAACAUUCCACCAAAGCCGAAGGCGAGAGCCUUCCAGAUGACACUUGAGGCUGCGAAAGAUGAAGCUGAUGUCGCUUCAGGUACCUUUCUCGUAAACGAAUUACCUGCUCAUAUAUUGUUUGAUUCUGGAGCCAACUACUCCUUUAUUUCGCAUGAGUUUGGUAGAAAGCUAGCUUUGCCUGUUGAUAGACUAGAUAAUGCUUUAUUAGUCGAAGUAGCUAGUGGCAAGUUUGUACCUGUUAGCCAUCGUAUGAAAAACGUCUUGAUCGACCUUAAUGGGAAUAAGUUUCUCGAGGAAUUAUUGCCUAUCGAACUAAAUGGUUUCGACAUCGUCUUGGGAAUGGAUUGGCUUAGCGCCAAUGAUGCCGAAAUUUUGUGCAAGAAGAAGAUAGUUAAAGUAAACCCGCCUGGGAAAGAUUCGUUUAUGGUGUAUGGGGACAAACGCAGAGUGAAUUCUGGAAUCAUUUCUCUAAUGAAAGCCAGAAAGUGUUUGACCAAGGGAUGUACAUCAUAUUUAGCAUUCGUGAUUGAUGCUAAGAAAGAAAAGAAGGUGAUGCAGAGCAUUCCAGUGGUGUGUGAUUAUCCGGAAGUAUUUCCCGAGGAUCUUCCUGGAUUACCACCUGAUAGACAAGUGGAGUUCAGAAUAGACUUGUUACCAGGAACCACGCCAAUAGCAAAAGCACCUUAUCGAUUAGCACCGACGGAGAUGAAGGAGCUGAUGAUGCAACUUCAGGAGUUAUUGGACAAAGGUUUCAUUAGACCUAGUUCAUCGCCCUGGGGAGCUCCGGUGUUAUUUGUAAAGAAGAAAGAUGGAAGUAUGAGAAUGUGCAUCGAUUACAGAGAGCUGAACAAGGCAACAAUAAAGAAUAGAUAUCCGUUGCCGAGGAUUGAUGACCUGUUUGAUCAAUUGCAAGGUUCGAGCUAUUUCUCGAAGAUCGAUCUUAGGUCAGGAUAUCAUCAGCUGAAAGUAAGAGAGCAAGAUAUCGAGAAGACUGCAUUCAGAACUAGAUAUGGACACUACGAGUUCUUGGUUAUGUCGUUUGGACUAACCAAUGCUCCAGCAGCGUUCAUGGAUUUGAUGAAUAGGGUUUGUAAUCCUUUCCUUGAUAAAUCCGUGAUAGUGUUCAUAGACGACAUUCUGAUCUACUCGAAAAGCCAGGAGGAGCAUGGCAGACACUUGCGAGAAGUGUUAGAAGUUUUGAAGAAGGAGAAGCUUUAUGCGAAGUUCUCCAAAUGUGAUUUUUGGAUUCGUGAGGUCCAAUUCUUGGGUCACGUGGUCAACCAAGAAGGGAUAAUGGUUGAUCCAGCGAAGAUCGAAGCUGUGACGAAGUGGGAACAACCGAAAAGUCCCACGGAGAUUCGAAGCUUUUUAGGAUUAGCCGGAUAUUACCGAAGGUUUAUCCAAGGCUUUUCUUCGAUUGCUACUCCAUUAACAGCUUUGACCCACAAAGGAGCUACUUAUGCUUGGAGUGAGAAGCAUAAAGAAGCAUUCGAGAAGUUAAAGAAGAAGCUAUGCGAGGCACCGAUACUUUCUCUACCCGAUGGAGUUGAAGACUUCGCUGUUUAUAGCGAUGCGUCUGGUGUUGGAUUGGGUUGUGUUUUGACCCAAAGAGAAAAGGUGAUAGCAUAUGCGUCUCGACAGCUGAAAGAGCAUGAAAAGAAUUACCCGACUCAUGAUUUGGAGUUGGCAGCGGUAGUUUUCGCUCUGAAAAUAUGGAGGCAUUACCUCUAUGGCACGAAGUGCAAACUUUUCACUGAUCAUAAGAGUCUCCAAUACCUCUUUAAUCAGAAAGAAUUGAAUAUGAGGCAACGACGCUGGCUAGAAUUACUUAAAGACUACGACUGCGAGAUACUUUACCACCCCGGUAAAGCUAAUGUUGUUGCUGAUGCUCUCAGUCGGAAAGUCAAUCUUGAAAGGAAGAGGCCAAGAGCGUUGAGAAUUGAAGUUGUCUCGACUAUUGUGGAAAGUAUAAAGAAAGCUCAAGAGGAAGCUUCUGAGAAAAAUGACCGAAAGGAGGAACGUUUGGGUAAAACGUUGGUGUUUGGUACUAACGGUCAUGGACUGAAGGUAUUCCAAGAUCGUAUUUGGGUACCUAAGUCAGGAGGAAUUAGGGAUCUUCUGAUGGAAGAAGCUCACAAAACCAUGUACUCAAUUCAUCCGGGUAGCACUAAAAUGUAUAGGGACCUGAAACCCUACUACUGGUGGCCGACGAUGAAGCUUGAUGUUGCAAAGUAUGUGGCCGAGUGUGUGACUUGUGCGAGAGUCAAGACACAACAUCAGAAACCUUACGGGAGUUUAGAACCAUUGCCUGUGCCUAUGGGUAAGUGGGAAGACAUUGCUAUGGAUUUUGUCACUAAACUGCCCAGAACAAAGAAUGGUCACGACAUGAUUUGGGUGGUCGUUGAUCGAUUCACUAAGAGUGCGCAUUUCAUAGCGGCCAGGGAGAAAUGGUCUAUGGAAAAGCUUGCGAAUUCUUACGUGAAGGAAAUUGUGAGGCUUCACGGUGUUCCGUUAACGAUUGUAUCGGAUCGUGAUAGCCGUUUCACCUCAAGGUUUUGGAAAAGUCUACAAGAGGAAAUGGGUACCAAGUUAUGUUUAAGCACAGCUUACCAUCCGCAGACUGAUGGUCAGAGUGAAAGAACAAUACAAACACUUGAAGAUAUGCUGAGAGCAUGUACCUUGGAAUUCCUAGGUAAUUGGGAUGAACAUUUACCGUUGGUAGAAUUUUCCUAUAAUAAUAGUUUUCACUCGAGCAUUAAGAUGGCACCUUAUCAAGCUUUGUAUGGACAGAAGUGUCGUACGCCGUCUUGUUGGCUUGAGGCUGGGGAAAAGCAGUUUAUGGGACCGGAGAUGGUUCAUCAAACUGCUGAAAAGUUGAAAAUAAUUAGGGAAAGAAUGUUAGCAGCUCAAGAUCGUCAAAAGAGCUAUGCUGACAAGAAGCGAAGACCGAUGACUUUUGAGGUUGGAGAUUCGGUUUUGCUUAAAGUCUCGCCGUGGAAGGGACUUAUAAGAUUUGGUAAAAGGGGAAAGUUGAGUCCAAGGUUUAUUGGACCGUUUAAAGUCCUUCAGAGGAUUGGGAAUCAAGCUUACAAGCUCGAAUUACCCGAAGAACUGAAUGGAAUUCACAACACCUUUCAUGUGUGUUAUUUGAGGAAGUUCACGGGAGAAGUUCCCGAUAUAAUUCCAAUUUCUGAAUUGAGAAUUGAUGAGAACAAAAGGUUGAUUGAAGAACCAGAGGCAAUUGUUGACCGAAAGACUAAGAAGUUGCGACGCAAAAUGGUUGGGUUAGUGCUUGUCCGAUGGAAACACACGAAUGGGCCGAAUCUCACCUGGGAGACGGAGAGUGACAUGUUGAGUCGCUAUCCGCAUUUGUUUGUUGAUGUGUGAUUCCGGGGACGGAAUCAUUCUAAGGUGGAGAGAAUUGUAACGCCUGUGUUUCCGGGCUUGCCAUUUUUAGCAAUGUAAUAGUCUAGGUUAACCUUUGUAACCCGUUUUGAAAUAAUAAGAUUGUAUUAUUUGAGUAUUAUGUGUUUUGUGCUUAAUUGCUUAAUUAUGUGGUUUGAUUAAUUAAGAAUAAAAAUAAGCGUCAAAAUUUAAGUGUAAAAUAAACUUAAUAUCUUUGGUUAAUGUUGUAGUAGUUGAAACGAGGUUUCCGAAUAUAUAUAGAACGCCCAAAUCUGACUUCGUAUGAGGAAGUUAUGAUUUAUCGAAGUUCCGGCUUAGCGAUAUACAGCCUGUUUUACUCGAUUUGAGAUCGAGCGGUUGUUAGCCGAAGCAAUCUAAAUGAGAAUCGAAGAUCUCAUUGUUGGUAUUGAAACGAUAAAAAGUUAGGCGAGAACGGACGUCAAACGAAGAAGUUAUGAAUUUAUAACGAAAGUUUCUGUCCCGGCCUAUUAAAAAUAAUUAAUAAAAAUAAAGUCAAAAUUAGCCGACGGAGUCUAAACGAAAGUCGUAGAGCGUGGUCUCACCUUCGCGUGGAUAUAAAGAACGUCGAAAACGGAGUUCGUAUGAAGAAGUUAUGAAUUUCCGAAGUUUAUUAAUCAUUUUGUAUUUAUUUUUAAUUCAAAAUUCGGAAGCAUUAUCCGAAGGAGUCACCGAUCUGAUCCGAGGUACGCCCCGCGUACUCGAGUACGCCCCGCGUACUCCGAGGGAUGUCGACACUCGCACUCGAGCACUUCGGAUACGUAAGCAAUGACGUUUUGGGCAGUACGCCCCGCGUAACGCAGUACGCCCCGCGUACUCCGAGGCUCCAGCCUCCUAUAAAUAGGAUGCGAGGGUUCCGGGUAUUUUUGCCAAUUCCCUCUCGUUUUCGUGUCGAAGCUCUGUGCAAAAACCCCCGAAGCUACCCCGAAGUCCCGGUAUCAUACUCUAGCCCCGAGGCAAGUCCCGAGAUCCUGAAGAUCCCGAAAAGUGCGGUUCCCGAGUCGAAGCUCUGCCCGCGAGAAGUUCGAUUUUCGAGAAGAUCUUCCAGAUCUGCUGUGGAUUACUACUUCUAUAAGCCGUAGUGCUGUCCGAUCAUCUUCUGAUCAAGUGAGUGUGUAGUUAUUUCUUCUAAUACAAUAAUACGAAGUAUUUUAUAUAAAAAUACGUGCUAUGUGUAUAUAUUUGGUUGUGUUAUGUGUGAAUGAGUAUUCACUCUCUUCUAUCUUAUAGAUCUGCUUAUUUCUUUAUGAGAUAUGUGUUAUGUGUGUGUGUGCCUCAUCUGUUAUGUGAUAUAUGUGUUGAUUAAAGCAUGCUAUACAGGUUUUCUUUAAACUAUGUAUACAAAUGUAUAUUUUUAUCUACUAAUAUGUUGGGUAGAACAUGGGUAGACAGUUGGUGUGUAAUAAACAGAUGAGAGGCCUCGUUGUUGUUUGAUUGAGUCAUCUAGCGGAGUUUAGAUGACGACCACUGGCUAUUCUAGACAGUCUUGUGGAAACAUUAGCAGGUUCGCCACCUGUAGGUGUUAAUGAACUUGGGUGUUCAUUCGCUGUACUCCAUCCCCCUCAUGGUUGCCUUAUUUGACUUAUAUUGCUGAGGUACCCCCGAAGCAUGUGUUGUCGCCCCGAUGAAAUAUUCUUAGACUAGGUCCCUUAUGUUAGUUGUUUUAGGGACAUUAAAGUGAGAAUAACGGGAAUGGGUAAUUGGGUUAUUGUUGGUUGGUGAAAAUUAAAUAUGAUAUUUAUUGUGGGUUGAAAACCCUAUAUGCUCACCAGGCUCCCAAGCCUGACCCACUCAGUUUUAAAUUGUAUUACAGGUAGUGGCGGAAGGGCAUGAGAUGGAUGAACCAUCAAGUUGUUUUGUUUACAAGUCUGCAUAUGUUUAUAUUUGUUAUAUGACUUGUAAUGUAUUCAUUUAUGCUUAUUGGUCUGUAUCGGAACAUGACACCCCGAGUUUUGAUUAUAAUGAAAAUACAUUUCUUUUAUGAAAUGCUUCGGUAAACAAUGUUUUAUCAUGUUUUGUUUUUGGGAACAAAUUCCGCAACUCUUUCAAAUCAAAAGGAUUUACUCUGAAAAUAUUUAAAAGCAUAAAUGAAAAUCGGUCUUUUCUGGCCGAGAUUUUGGGGAUGUCACAUUAAUCAACUUCGAUUCCAAGUUAAACACAUCAAAUUCCAAGUAUACAUAACAAAAUCGUAUUU